AUUGAACGCUGGCGGCAGGCCUAACACAUGCAAGUCGAACGAGUGGCGGACGGGUGAGUGAUUUCUGGGAAACUGCCUGAUGGAGGGGGAUGAGUAGUGGAAACGGUAGCUAAUACCGCAUACCAUCGGAUGUGCCGAGAUGGGAUUAGCUAGUCGGGGGGGUAAAGGCUCCCCUAGGCGACGAUCCCUAGCGGGUCUGAGAGGAUGACCAGCCACACUGGAAUUGAGACACGGGCCAGACUCCUACGGGAGGAAGCAGAGGGGAAUAUUGGACAAGGGCCGAAAGCCGGAUGCAGCCAUGCGGCGGGUUGGAGGAAGGUUUCCGGGUUGUAAAGUAUGUUCAGCGGGGAGGCGUUACCCGAAGAAGAAGCAACGGCUAACUACGUGCCAGCAGCCGCGGUAAUAC
rnacentral:rRNA from 1 species